rnacentral:tRNA from 1 species
AAAGGUAGAGCUCAGUGGUAGAGCACACGCUUAGCAUGAACAAGGUCCUGGGUUCAAUCCCCAGUACCUCCU